rnacentral:misc_RNA from 1 species
GAAAUGCGAUAAGUAAUGUGAAUUGCAGAAUUGAGUGAAUCAUCGAAUCUUUGAACGCACCUUGCGCUCCUUGGUAUGCCGAGGAGCAUGCCUGUUUGAGUGUCAUGAAACCCUCAAACCCAAGUUUUGGAUUUCGAUCCAUGCUAGAUGUUGGAUUUGGAUGUUUGCCGGUGAUGAACCGACUCAUCUUAAAAGGAUUAGCUUGGAUCUGUCUAUAUGACUGGUUUUACUUGGCAUAAUAAGUAUUGUGCUAAGGACAUCUUCGGAUGGCCAGGACCUAGACUACUGUCUGCUAACUAAACCAUCACUUUAAGUGCAUCUUUGGAUGUUACUCAUUGUGUAACUUUGACAUCUGGCCUCAAAUCAAGUAGGACUACCCGCUGAACUUAA